CUGUUCGGACUGCAGCCGACAGUGCAGGUCCUAAUUUCGUUUUUAAUGGAGAAGCAUAGCUUAAGGAUUAACGGGUAGUAUCGGGUUGAGAUUAUAGACGCUCAGUGACCUUUCCCUAAAAUGGGAAAAUUUUAUAAAAUCUAACUCACACGAUGAAGAUCGUAGUAGCCUAGCUACCAAGGUGAUUAAAAUGAUCAUAUCUGUGUAACUAUAUCUUACGGUACACUAUAUUAAUGAUUAAUAGGCUCUGGUGUCUGAAGUGCGAUCAAAAUUAGUUAUUUUGUCCUGCUAAAAUAUAGUAUUAAUAUGGCUUCGGGU